AGUACGCGUAUGCAACCUACCUUUAACUGGGGGAUAGCCUUCCGAAAGGGAGAUUAAUACCGCAUAAAAUCAUUUGAGGGCAUCUGAAGAUGAUUAAAGAUUUAUCGGUUAAAGAUGGGCAUGCGUGCCAUUAGCUAGUUGGUAGGGUAACGGCCUACCAAGGCUACGAUGGCUAGGGGUUCUGAGAGGAUGAUCCCCCACACUGGCACUGAGAUACGGGCCAGACUCCUACGGGAGGCAGCAGUAGGGAAUAUUGGGCAAUGGACGGAAGUCUGACCCAGCCAUGCCGCGUGCAGGAUGAAGGCCUUCUGGGUUGUAAACUGCUUUUAUCUGGGAAGAAAAUGCCCCUGCGGGGGAGACUGACGGUACCAGAUGAAUAAGCACCGGCUAACUCCGUGCCAGCAGCCGCGGUAAUACGGAGGGUGCAAGCGUUGUCCGGAUUUAUUGGGUUUAAAGGGUGCGUAGGCGGCCCGUUAAGUCAGUGGUGAAAGCCUCCAGCUCAACUGGAGAACUGCCAUUGAUACUGACGGGCUUGAGUACAGACGAGGUUGGCGGAAUUGAUUGUGUAGCGGUGAAAUGCAUAGAUACAAUCAAGAACUCCGAUUGCGUAGGCAGCUAACUAGGCUGUAACUGACGCUGAGGCACGAAAGCGUGGGGAGCGAACAGGAUUAGAUACCCUGGUAGUCCACGCCGUAAACGAUGAUUACUCGAUGUUGGCGAUAAACUGUCAGCGUCUUAGCGAAAGCGUUAAGUAAUCCACCUGGGGAGUACGCCCGCAAGGGUGAAACUCAAAGGAAUUGACGGGGGCCCGCACAAGCGGUGGAGCAUGUGGUUUAAUUCGAUGA
rnacentral:rRNA from 1 species